rnacentral:rRNA from 1 species
AACGCUAGCUACAGGCUUAACACAUGCAAGUCGAGGGGCAUCAGGAAGAAAGCUUGCUUUCUUUGCCGGCGACCGGCGCACGGGUGAGUAACACGUAUCCAACCUGCCGAUGACUCGGGGAUAGCCUUUCGAAAGAAAGAUUAAUACCCGAUGGUAUAUCUGAAAGGCAUCUUUCAGCUAUUAAAGAAUUUCGGUCACUGAUGGGGAUGCGUUCCAUUAGGUUGUUGGCGGGGUAACGGCCCACCAAGCCAUCGAUGGAUAGGGGUUCUGAGAGGAAGGUCCCCCACAUUGGAACUGAGACACGGUCCAAACUCCUACGGGAGGCAGCAGUGAGGAAUAUUGGUCAAUGGACGAGAGUCUGAACCAGCCAAGUAGCGUGAAGGAUGACUGCCCUAUGGGUUGUAAACUUCUUUUAUACGGGAAUAAAGUUAGGCACGUGUGCCUUUUUGUAUGUACCGUAUGAAUAAGGAUCGGCUAACUCCGUGCCAGCAGCCGCGGUAAUACGGAGGAUCCGAGCGUUAUCCGGAUUUAUUGGGUUUAAAGGGAGCGUAGGCGGAUGCUUAAGUCAGUUGUGAAAGUUUGCGGCUCAACCGUAAAAUUGCAGUUGAUACUGGGUGUCUUGAGUACAGUAGAGGCAGGCGGAAUUCGUGGUGUAGCGGUGAAAUGCUUAGAUAUCACGAAGAACUCCGAUUG